CCCUUAGAUGUUCUGGGCCGCACGCGUGCUACACUGAGUGGAUCAGCGGGUCAGGUUGCGCGAAAGCGUUUCCUAAUCUUUAAAUCCGCUCGUGAUGGGGAUUGACGGUUGCAAUUUUCUGUCAUGAACGAGGAAUACCUUGUAAGCGCGGGUCAUCAUCCCGCGCUGAAUACGUCCCUGCCCUUUGUACACACCGCCCGUCGCUCCUACCGAUUGAGUGGUCCGGUGAACCUUCUGGAUUGUGCGGCUUGCCGCGCGAGAAGUUAUGUAAACCUUAUCACUUAGAGGAAGGAGAAGUCGUAACA
rnacentral:rRNA from 1 species